rnacentral:tRNA from 1 species
AGCUUUAUAGUCAAUUAUGACAUUAGACUGCAAUUCUAAAGGAGUAUUUUAUACUAAGGCUU